UACAGAGGGGGCAAGCGUUGUUCGGAAUUACUGGGCGUAAAGGGCGCGUAGGCGGCCUGCUAAGUCGAACGUGAAAUCCCUGGGCUCAACCCAGGAACUGCGUCCGAUACUGGUUGGCUUGAAUCCGGGAGAGGGAUGUGGAAUUCCAGGUGUAGCGGUGAAAUGCGUAGAUAUCUGGAGGAACACCGGUGGCGAAGGCGGCAUCCUGGACCGGUAUUGACACUGAGGCGCGAAAGCCAGGGGAGCAAACGGG
rnacentral:rRNA from 1 species